rnacentral:rRNA from 1 species
GCGACCCCAGGUCAGGCGGGGCUACCCGCUGAGUUUAAGCAUAUCAAUAAGCCGGAGAACCUGCGGAAGGAU